rnacentral:rRNA from 1 species
UACGUAGGGUGCGAGCGUUGUCCGGAAUUAUUGGGCGUAAAGAGCUUGUAGGCGGUUUGUCGCGUCUGCCGUGAAAAUCCGGGGCUCAACCCCGGACUUGCGGUGGGUACGGGCAGACUAGAGUGUGGUAGGGGAGAUCGGAAUUCCUGGUGUAGCGGUGAAAUGCGCAGAUAUCAGGAGGAACACCGGUGGCGAAGGCGGAUCUCUGGGCCGUAACUGACGCUGAGGAGCGAAAGCAUGGGGAGCGAACAGG